rnacentral:tRNA from 1 species
UGUCCGAUGGUGUAACGGUAGCACAGAGGUCUUUGGAGCCUUUAGUCGUGGUUCGAAUCCACGUCGGACAGCCA